rnacentral:lncRNA from 14 species
CGUUUCAUUCUGUAACUUCUCAGACUUACCCGUUUCAUUCUGUAACUUCUCAGACUUACCCGUUUCAUUCUGUAACUUCUCAGGACUUGCUCAGUGCUGCGGAGGCAAGAACAGCUCUAGAAAGGGAAGCUAUGCUCUACCAAGAACGGCUGCUUGCGUCUCAGCGAGCCUGGGAUGCUUCGAAGCAGGAGUUGAACCAGCUGAGGAAAAGCUGCCAGCAGCUGGAUGUGAGCCUGAAGGCCAGCAGGGAGGCCGCCACAGCCUCACAAAGCCAGAACGCCUGCUUCAGGGAAAAACUCGCAGCUCUUCUUUGCAGCAGAUUCGACAUAGCUGAGUCCACUGAGGACGCCAUAUUGGAGAAGAUUCGAGUGCUAGGCAUUGAGGAAGAGAACCAGAAAAGGUACUUGAAAUUUCUGGACCAGCUGUCAGAGAAAAUGAAAUUGGGCCACAUAGCUGCUGACCUUGGCUUUGACAUGCGUCUGGACGUAGUUCUAGCUCGCAUAGAGCAGCUAGUCCACCUUGAGAGCAAUGCUGUCAUAGAAAACAAGACCAUGGCUCACAACUUACAGAGAAAGGUAGGCAACAUCACCCUUUGAAGGACUGGGAAGAGAAACUUCUGGAGAGCCCAAGUGUUUAGAUGAUUUUCUCCCACCAUGAUCAGUAGUGCGUUUACAAAGCAUUUUAUAAAGUUAUGUAUUUAGGAGCUGAGUCUCAAUUCUACAGUCUGAAGAUCUGAGGGCAGCCCAUCCCUGCCAUGGUCUUCACCUACAUGGCCCAAAGUAGUCUCUAGAACCGAUUGUCUGUGUUUCAUGCAGAAGGUUGGGGAGGGGAAGAAGGAAGCCAAAGAUGC